rnacentral:misc_RNA from 1 species
AGCAUUCGGAUGGCUUUACUGGCUGUGAGUACAAGAACUUCAAUUUCCCCCUUUAUUCAUUUUGCACCAAUUCAGAUAUUUUUCUUCUAUCCUUAAAUGGUAUUUGUGUCUCUAGGGACGUGAAGUUUUUGUUUUAACUUACUAAUUUUACCUAUCACUCUCAACUAACAUAAGAUUCAAGUUCUUUUUAUAAGAUUUGAGUUUUUUUUUUCCUUGUAAAAAAUCCUACAUUAGGUUUUGUUUUUCUUUUCUUUUCUUU